AGCUGGGCCUCUGUGGACUGAGACCCCUGAAACCCUGACCCCCAGCUAACCCUCUCCUCUACAGCUGUUCUGGUCAGUCAGCCCCUCUAGUCACAGCACAGACAAGCUGGCUAACACAGGGGGCGGAGUGAAGACUACUAGGGCACAUGGCCAGCAGAGGAGUGGCCAGAGGACACGGGGCUGAGGAUGAGAGCUGAUAGGGGGGCCACAGGGCUCUUCUCCAUGAAUGGAAUCCCUCAGGAAAGGAAGCCACAACCGUCGUCUGUCUUUCACUUCCUGAAAGUCCGAGGCGAUGGCCCCAAAUGGCCCUUAGCGCUCUCGUUUCCAGCGUGCCAAGCCGUGGUACUCAGGGGUCUGCCAGGUUGGGGACAGUCACGGGAGCCCCAUAGAGGCAGGGCAGAGGCAGUGUCUGAGAGGAGGUGGGUCCCCGAGCUGAGUAGUGCUGCCGCCUGAGACCCACUCCCCCAGUGGGCAGCACUUGGGCAGCCGUGCUCAGCAUGCCGGGGCCUCCGCAGCGGGCGCCAGGUCCCGUCUUCCGCCCUCAGUGCCCAGGACCAACUGACCUGAAAACUGACCCUUGACAAAUGAAAUACCGAAGUACAGGAGCCAGCGGC
rnacentral:lncRNA from 1 species